rnacentral:rRNA from 1 species
AUUGAACGCUGGCGGCAGGCCUAACACAUGCAAGUCGAGCGGAAACGAAGAGUAGCUUGCUACUCUGGCGUCGAGCGGCGGACGGGUGAGUAAUGCCUAGGAAAUUGCCCUGAUGUGGGGGAUAACCAUUGGAAACGAUGGCUAAUACCGCAUAAUGCCUACGGGCCAAAGAGGGGGACCUUCGGGCCUCUCGCGUCAGGAUAUGCCUAGGUGGGAUUAGCUAGUUGGUGAGGUAAAGGCUCACCAAGGCGACGAUCCCUAGCUGGUCUGAGAGGAUGAUCAGCCACACUGGAACUGAGACACGGUCCAGACUCCUACGGGAGGCAGCAGUGGGGAAUAUUGCACAAUGGGCGCAAGCCUGAUGCAGCCAUGCCGCGUGUAUGAAGAAGGCCUUCGGGUUGUAAAGUACUUUCAGUCGUGAGGAAGGCAUAUACGUUAAUAGCGUAUGUGUUUGACGUUAGCGACAGAAGAAGCACCGGCUAACUCCGUGCCAGCAGCCGCGGUAAUACGGAGGGUGCGAGCGUUAAUCGGAAUUACUGGGCGUAAAGCGCAUGCAGGUGGUUCGUUAAGUCAGAUGUGAAAGCCCGGGGCUCAACCUCGGAACCGCAUUUGAAACUGGCGGACUAGAGUACUGUAGAGGGGGGUAGAAUUUCAGGUGUAGCGGUGAAAUGCGUAGAGAUCUGAAGGAAUACCAGUGGCGAAGGCGGCCCCCUGGA